rnacentral:lncRNA from 1 species
CCCUACUUUUGACACUUCUUUCCAGAUUGUGAAUGUGUUUGGUGGGGAUGCUGGGAACAACUCUGGUUAACUGAGGAAGAGAAAAUGGGCAGGCGCUUUGGGAGCAGACUGCAGACUGAGGCGGUCCCUUGGAAAGCUAGAUCCUGGCGUUCUGAGAGCACGUGUUCCACCGAAGUCACAUUCCUUUUGCAAAGGUUUGGUCCCCUGCCGUUCUGCCCUGUCCCAUAGAAGCCUCUUUCCACUCACAACGGGCGUCCGGGCCUUCAGACCUCAAAGUUAGCCAGGCUGUACCAACAGGGAAUCCCAGUGUGUUUCUUUCCAGCAAAGUUCCCAACUGUAGUUUUAAGCCCCUUCAAAACACCGCCCGCGGAGACCGUGAGACUUGUCAACACGUUUAACACCGAUAAGGUGCUCAUCAGAGGGAGAAGAUGGGCGUGAGCCAUGCUGGAUUAGGACUGGGAAGCCUGAAAGAUUCGGGUGGACGGACUGCCAUCUAGUUGCAAGGGCUAAGGUGCUGGCCGGUGCGGGGGUCCGCUGUCUGCACUGGAAACUGUAAUAAAGACUAGAAAGGGAACAGAAGAGCAAAGAAGGAACUGGAAAUAGGGUAUAGAGAACAGAAGAGACAAGAGAUAAAAGAAGAGGAAAGAAGUAGGGCGCGGGAAGGAGAAACUGACAGCGCCAUAGUGCUCCGCGCAUUUGGAGCCCCGCCAGAUAGCGCUAGAGGGCUAUUUAUUGAAAGUCGUUCUUCCCGCGACACAGGGAAACAGCUAAAAUUGGAAGAAAUUAGACAGGGAAAAAGCAAAAUGCAGCAAUUCUACUCCAUCCUAUUUUUUAAAACUAUAGAUUUCUUUAAUGAUACUAUUUCCAGGGAGAAAAGUCCAUAAUAAAACACCAAGGCGUAAAAAGCAAAAUAAAUAAAUAAACACAAAACAAAAGCAAAAAACCAAUAAGGUGGUGGUAGGCACAGGGGACAAGGGUCCCUUCUCUCUGUGGACUCUGUCUAGGAAGAACACGAACCAAGGUAACAGGUAAGAAAAUGAGCAGCAUCCUUUCUAGUCUAACUUUUCGGUUAUACUGCUGGGAAGGUCAAAAACAGUUCACAAGGAUGAGCGCAGGUUUUAAGGAGAAAAGAUGUUUUAAAGGCAGUAAGUGGCUCCAAGGGGUGGAAUGGGGGGCCUAGAGAAAGGAGAAGGACUUCAAAAACUCACCCUCCUUUAGAAUCCAAAGGAAAGUAGUGUGGAUGGAAAUAGAAAACCUGGGAACAGACAUGGAGUAUGGAAAGAGAAAGAGAUAAUGGAUGGUGUGUUUUGAGGAUUUUUUUUUUUUUUUUGCUAGCUAGGUUCAGUAAUCCAAGGAAAUAAAUAUCUUUCAUAAUGACACUUUACUUUUAAA